AGCAGCCGCGGUAAUUCCAGCUCCAAUAGCGUAUAUUAAAGUUGUUGCAGUUAAAAAAGCUCGUAGUUGAAUUUCGGGAUCAAUAUGUUGGUCGUGCCUCGGUACGUACUAGCUUAUUGGUUUCUCCUUUCUGAAGAACCAUGAUGUCAUUUAUUUGGUGUCGUGGGGAAUCAGGACUGUUACUUUGAAAAAUUAGAGUGUUUAAAGCAGGCUCACGCUUGAAUACAUUAGCAUGGAAUAAUGAAAUAGGACGUUUGAUUCUAUUUUGUUGGUUUCUAGGAUCGACGUAAUGAUUAAUAGGGAUAGUUGGGGGCAUUAGUAUUCAAUUGUCAGAGGUGAAAUUCUUGGAUUUAUUGAAGACUAACUACUGCGAAAGCAUUUGCCAAGGAUGUUUUCAUUAAUCAAGAACGAAAGUUAGGGGAUCGAAGACGAUCAGAUACCGUCGUAGUCUUAACCAUAAACUAUGCCGACUAGGGAUCGGAUGAUGUUAAUUUUUAAUGUACUCA
rnacentral:rRNA from 1 species